rnacentral:lncRNA from 1 species
AUCAGAGGUUUAGGCCCGGACCAUCAAUAGGGUUUUAGGCCCGGACAUCCAUCAGGGUUUAGGGCCCCGGACAUCCAAUCAGGGUUUAGGCCAGGACAUCCAAUCAGGGUUUGGCCCCGGCCAGCCAAUCAGGGUUUAGGCCCGGACACCAACAGGUAGGCCGGACAUCCAAUCAGGGUUUAGGCCCGGACAUCCAAUCAGGGUUUAGGCCCGGACAUCCAAUCAGGGUUUAGUAUUGUGUAUAUGAAUGUGUAGGUUAUUGUGUAUAUGAAUGUGUAGGUUAGUUUGGAUAUGAAUGUGUGGUUAUUGUGUAUAUGAAUGUGUCGGUUCUGUGUAUCUGAAUGUUGUCGUAUUGUGUUAUCUAUG